CAUUUUCAGUAUAGAAGUCCUGAGUAAACACGUUGUCGUUGAAUACCGCUUCUCUGCCGAACCUUAUAUUAGUGCCUCAUGCAGUAAUGUCUCAGUUUUAUCUAGGUAAUGCCCACGGGCAAAGAAAACACUCUAAGGAAUUUUGCAAAUGGCAAAGAUUAAAGGUCAAGUUAAGUGGUUCAACGAGUCUAAAGGUUUUGGUUUCAUUACUCCUGCUGACGGCAGCAAAGACGUGUUCGUACACUUCUCUGCAAUCCAGGGUAAUGGCUUCAAAACUCUGGCUGAAGGCCAGAACGUUGAGUUCGAAAUUCAGGACGGCCAGAAAGGCCCAGCUGCAGUUAACGUAACUGCUA
rnacentral:sRNA from 1 species